GACGAACGCUGGCGGCGUGCUUAACACAUGCAAGUCGAACGGAAAGGCCCUGCUUUUGUGGGGUGCUCGAGUGGCGAACGGGUGAGUAACACGUGAGUAACCUGCCCUUGACUUUGGGAUAACUUCAGGAAACUGGGGCUAAUACCGGAUAGGAGCUCCUGCUGCAUGGUGGGGGUUGGAAAGUUUCGGCGGUUGGGGAUGGACUCGCGGCUUAUCAGCUUGUUGGUGGGGUAGUGGCUUACCAAGGCUUUGACGGGUAGCCGGCCUGAGAGGGUGACCGGCCACAUUGGGACUGAGAUACGGCCCAGACUCCUACGGGAGGCAGCAGUGGGGAAUAUUGCACAAUGGGCGGAAGCCUGAUGCAGCAACGCCGGGUGCGGGAUGACGGCCUUCGGGUUGUAAACCUCUUUCGCCUGUGACGAAGCGUGAGUGACGGUAAUGGGUAAAGAAGCAACGGCUAACUACGUG
rnacentral:rRNA from 1 species